rnacentral:lncRNA from 10 species
GGCCCGCAAGCACCGCGCGCAGUCCCGGUUCCUGCCCGCGCCUCUCCCUCCACACCUCCUUGCAAGCUGAGGGAGCCGGCUCUGGCCUUGGCCAGCCCAGAAAGGGGCUGCCAUAGUGCAGCGGAGGGCUGAAGGGCUCCUCAAGUGCCGUCAAAGUGGGAGCCCAGUCAGAGGAGGUGCCGAAAGCGAGCGAGGGCUGUGAGGACUGCCAGCACAGUGUCACCUCUCACUCUCUCUCAGUGCUGUGAGAGUAUGGGUUCCUCUCCCACUUGAGUGCUGGCUACAGAACUUGGCUUCGCACUGCUGGGCUGUGCACCACGGCCCUAAGCUGGAGGGCAGUAAGGGCAGUACCGCUGCAGCCGCAAUGAGAGAGGGGCUGUGCGUUGUCUACAGAAUUCCCUCCCCAGAGAAACUCAGAGCUGCCACCUACUGAAAUGUUCAGGGUCAUCAUGUCAUAGAUGGAAGAAGGUCAAGAUUGAUGAAUAUCAUGCUUCUUCAAACUUCCUUAACCAACAGGGAACUGGGUCCAUGAAAGAUGGGUCACUUG